AGUUGAGGAAGAGUCUACAUUUUAAAAGCCUUAAAAUAAUUGUAGACAGAGAGGACAAAAGAUUUUUAUUACAAGUUUUAUGUAAAAACCCUGAAUUGACAGCCUGUGUGUCCAAAGUUUCAUCAGCCUGGAGUCCUAGACGGGGUCACAUUAACAGAAAUAAACAGUGUUUCCUGGGAUUUAGGUUCAACCUACUACUGUGGUUGCAUCUUUUCAUGCUUCACCCCCCACACACCUCCCACAGCCCCACCAGUUAUUUAAGGGGCUUCCCAAGGGGUUUUUGUGUGUUGAUGAAGAGGCCCUCUGAGCUAUCUUUGCUAUUGUCCAGCCCAUCAAUUGUAUCUGCUGCCCUGUGUACUUCCCUGUGAUGCCCACGGCCAGGGCCACCACUGAAGGGCAAUCUUCUGCUACUAGGCCUCUUGCCACUGCCUCCCCAGCUGGAUUCAAAGCUGCAGGAAUACUCCAGGCCCUCCAGGUGUCAAAGCUGGGCUUUACUUGCUGCUCUCCUUACCUUCUGCACUACCAGUCUCACCCUUCCUUCAAACCAAGUUAAGAGAGGGGGACUCUGCUAUUUCUGGUUGACCUUAUCCUGUGUUUUGUAAGGAUCUGGAGUUGCACAGGUGGAGGAAGUGGUCGGAGGAGAGGAGAAAGUUACGGAAACAGCUGCUGUGGGAGAAGCACUUCACUCCCUCUCUGCUCCAUAGUCUGUGCUAAAAUCCAAGUGGGAAAUGGAAAUGGGGAGUUAUGCUAUUUCCAGGUUUCUGUUGGGGGCCUUUCCAUGCUGAAACCAAAUCAUAGGAUGUAAGACAGGGACACUCCAGUUUCCUUCUAAAGUGGUGGCAGGACCAUUUAUUCAUGUAAAUCCUGACAGGGUUAAUUGAAUUGUUUCGACACUCGUUAGGUGAAUGUGGAGGAGAUGGGUGUGUGCCUGCUCUCCUGCUCUGUUUCCCUCACAUCCCUCUCCCAUUGUUAUCUUCUUAAUUUCACAUUUUUCAGUCAUGGUGGGGGUGUGGGGAACAAUCAUUCCCAGUUGCUACCAACCAUAAGUACAAACUGAAUGCAGACUGCUCCUCAAUCACUGAGCACUGAUUUUACCCAACAAUAUUGGACCACUCCAGGAUGGGAGCCAUCAUUCAAAGUGUCCCCCAGAAAGUUGCCACUGGAAAUAUAUGAAUACUGAUUUGUGUGUGUGUGUGUGUGUGUGUGUGUGUGUGUGUGUGUGUGUGUCUUUUUGCCAU